CGGUCUGUACUUCAGAAAUAACUACAAUCUAAGCAAUGUUGAAGACAUUUUAAGGAAGUCAUGCCAUUGGGCCUAGCAUACAAAGUGCUUGAUAGAAGCUUCAUUAAUCUUAUUAAAUAACAUGUCUUCGUCAUGCAUUGAUUAGACAUACAAAUCAUUAAUCCCCAUAAGGGAUUGCAGAGGAAUUUAAUGUCACUCCAAAACCAGCCUUUUCCUGCCUAUGGUUGUCAAGGUAACGAGCAUCUUACAUUCUAAGCAAACAGAUCUUUCAACAAAAGAUUUCUGAAGCCACCAUAGGUAACAUACAGCUGCCCAUGCCUCCCUCUUUGUAGAAGAGUUUCCGGGAGAAGCCUCGGGAGGGCUAAUCAAGAUAUUAAAUUUACUCACAGACAACCUGUGUCAAUGCCUGGUAGCAAGUUGGGUGUUCAAUGGAAAUGAAAGAUUAGAAGACCAUUUAGAUGGCUUGGUGGGCAGAGUGCUCACCAACAAGUCUGAGGAACUGAUACCCAGAAUCCACCUGGUGUAAAGACAAAAAUGACCUCCUGAAAGAUGCCUUCUGACCUCUGCACGGAUGCUAUGGCCCAGUCCACACCUGGUAUGCACACGCACACAAAAUCAAUACAUAACUUUUCAAAAGAAAAUGGAGUAAUUGAACAAUCUACGAUUAUCAUCAGCAGGAAAUGAAACUUAAUAGAUAUGGAAAGACAUGAGAAAAGGAAGGCAUCAUCUAAUCUCACACUCAAGGAAGAAAGAGGAACUUAAGGGGAACCAGAAUGCCAUUAUCUCUCACCUUACAGGCAACUAGGGAACUGCGCACAGUCUCUGUGAGCCACAUUGAGGGAUAUCUCUAAAAGAAUGCAAGUAUUUUUCUUUGUGCAUGACACUUUUCUUGCCUCUGAUUUAUCUAAUCAUUGUUUCCCCCCCUUUCUCUCUGUGUGUAUGUAUAAUUUUAGUACAUGCUAUAUUCUAGUCUCAGACUAUGAAGAACAAUUUUAAAAGAGCCCUAACUUACUCACACAUAUACAUUGUGUGCAUAUAUGGAGGUAAUAAGUGAUUUCACAGAGUUUUUGAUGCAGCAAAGUCAAAGAGAAUGAGUGUAAGAGAGCAGGGACUAGAGCUGUGAGUAGGCAGGACAGGUUCUGCUCACAAUUACUUCUGCUCAGAUUCCUGUUCUGUACCCAGGAACCUGAAGCAGACAACGGUAAGGGAUUACAGCAUUAAUAAAAUGGACAACGGAGACUCGAAGAAUACAAAACAAUAGCCAGAAGAGUGCCAGUGCAGGAGGAGAGAAGGCAUGAGGUUUCACGUUACCACUUAGGCCAAUGGCAGCAUCUGAAUCUGAAGAACUGCACAGUUGAAAUGAAAGCAGCUUCAAGAAUGCAUUACUACCUUAAUGAUGCGUAGAGAAGCUCUGUGGACAAAUCAAACAGGCCCACUGUUGUCUGCUAUCAACCCAGAAGUUUUAUCUGUGUGCAAUGCUAAGAAUGCUAUCGGGAUGUUAUUUGGAGAGACAGAGCAAUGCCACUGAGGAGAACAUAUUCGACAGUACUUGACUCACAUACGAGGUUGAAAGACACAGGGCAGAUAUGAAAAAUGGGGAGAAGAGAAG
rnacentral:sRNA from 1 species